rnacentral:rRNA from 1 species
GACGAACGCUGGCGGCGUGCUUAACACAUGCAAGUCGAACGGAAAGGCCCUGCUUUUGUGGGGUGCUCGAGUGGCGAACGGGUGAGUAACACGUGAGUAACCUGCCCUUGACUUUGGGAUAACUUCAGGAAACUGGGGCUAAUACCGGAUAGGAGCUCCUGCUGCAUGGGGGGGGUUGGAAAGUUUCGGCGGUUGGGGAUGGACUCGCGGCUUAUCAGCUUGUUGGUGGGGUAGUGGCUUACCAAGGCUUUGACGGGUAGCCGGCCUGAGAGGGUGACCGGCCACAUUGGGACUGAGAUACGGCCCAGACUCCUACGGGAGGCAGCAGGGGGGAAUCUUGCACAAUGGGCGGAAGCCUGAUGCAGCAACGCCGCGUGCGGGAUGACGGCCUUCGGGUUGUAAACCGCUUUCGCCUGUGACGAAGCGUGAGUGACGGUAAUGGGUAAAGAAGCACCGGCUAACUACGUG